AUGUGAAGAAUAAAAAGAAAGUAUUGAGAAAAAAUAUUGAAAAGAAAAAAAUUCAUCAUUCACAGGUGAAAAUAAAUGUUAAGUUAUUUCACCAAUUUAUGAAUCUGCUUCUGUAAUAAUCUCAAUUUUUGGAAUAGAAGGUAGUGCGUACGUUGGUUACAAGAAGACGACCAAGUUAAGGAGGAAGAUGAGGCGGAGGACGAAGAACGACGGGUAGCAAGGUGCUGCCAAGGUGGCGGUUGGAGCAGCUGAUCUUCGAAUAGCAGCAGGUGAAUGCGGACGAGAAACACAGAGGAAUUUACCACAUAUAAAAGGUGUUUCGUUAUUGUUACCAAGCGCGAGACUACCUUUCUGUCAAUUUAUUGAUUUUCUACAUGAAGCAUUUUUUGGAAAAAAAGAAUUCACCAAAAAUGCAAUACUUCUAAACUUGGAUGAUCAGAAAAAAUGGCCUCUAGAUGUUUCUAAAUUAUUGGCUGAAGUUUAAAACAAAUGUCAUGGACAGCAAACAUAAAAAUUUUCAAAUACGAAGACGAAGAAGAAGAAGAAGAAGGGAAGAGGGGCAUAAGACGAUUUAAAAGUAAGACUUGCGGGCAGUUCCCAUGUCCUCUUAUGGGUCUUUCCGUUGUCGUCGCUUCCCAUAGACUUCCUAAACAUUAAUUUCCUUAAGGUGACUCGCCACACAUAACAGAUGGUCUAUUAAUUCGACUUAAAAGAUUCCGAUGAUUUCUUCGCUAUUUUUCCGUUAUACUUCCCCUUCAUAACGUACAUAUAAUAUUCUUGAUAAUGAUCUUAAUAAUACUUAUUUGAAAUUUACCACUUUUAAUAAAUCUUACAUUAUAAACUAUACAUAAUUAAUUUCAACGAUACUGAAAUCAUGAAACAAGUAAACAAGGCCGAGACGAAUCUUUGGAAUGAAAUAAAGGGGCCACCAAUGUGUAGUAGCACAAGGAAAGGACUCUCAAGAACGCACUGAUGAGAAAGAGAAAGGAUAAGAUAGCAUCUGAAAUGGCUCCCGUCUUUAUAGUGUGACUGGCAAACCCGCGGGGCUUCUUUGGUAAUUGCCGACGCCAAGAACUACAUUUACCAGAAAAAAUAUUAUCUUUUUCAUUACUAUUCCAAGUGAUUAUAAAAAUAUUAAUCCAUUUAAGACGUUACUUCACAUGUGAGGACAAAGGAUAUUAUGGAGCCUAUGGAAUCAUAUGUGUCUGAAGAUGCAUAAACGUACGGUCUGUUAGUGAUUGAACUUACGGCGCAUCGUGGGGACUUGGAAAAAGAGCGUGAAAAAAGGCCGGAGGUGGAAACUUGGUCUAACAAUGCCAGGCGGGAUUACGUAGGCGCCCUUGGGGCCUCCCCAUUCAAUAAAAAAGGGGAGAAUGAUGAAUAGAAUCUUGGAAAGGAUAAUGUGCACGCGCUCUUUACGUUUUUAACGUACGUACAUAUAUAUUUCGUACAUCAGCAACCCACAUUUGUCCUUCAGGUUAUUUUUGAGUUUAAUGCGAGUAGAUAUUUUAGAGGAUCAAGGAAAGGUAAGUCGCGUGUGCAAACGUGCACAGAAUCCUAUA